GUGCCUGUCCUUUGACAGGAAAAAGGGAAUCAGGUCAGAAUCCUGAGCGAUCCGGUCACUGUAUUCAGGGAGCGAAGCCUCGUCAUCCAUUGCAAACCCUAUCAUGCGAGAAGGAGAGGCUGAGCGGAGAACUGUAAGUCAGGAAACCUGCUUGAUAUG
rnacentral:ncRNA from 1 species